rnacentral:rRNA from 1 species
GCAAGUCGUGCGCGAAAGCCUUCGGGCGAGUAAAGCGGCGAACGGGUGAGUAACACGUAAUCAACCUACCCUCGAGAUCGGAAUAACCACUGGAAACGGUGGGUAAUGCCGAAUGGUCUCACGGAGAGGCAUCUCUCUGUGAGUAAACGGUAGCCCUGCUACUGCUUGGGGAGGGGAUUGCGGCCUAUCAGCUAGUUGGUGGGGUAAAGGCCUACCAAGGCAAUGACGGGUAGCUGGUCUGAGAGGACGACC